CAGUUUGAUCUCAGACUGCUGUGCUAGCAAUCAGCAAGACUCCGUGGGCGUAGGACCCUCCAAGCCAGGUGCGAUAUAAUGUCGUGGUGCGCCGUUUUUUAAGCUGGUUGGAAAAGCGCAGUAUUCGCGUGGGAGUGACCCGAUUUUCCAGUGAGAUGAACCCGGUACCUCAGAUUGAAAUGCAGAAAUCACCCGUCUUCUGCGUCGCUCACGCUGGGAGCUGUAGACCGGAGCUGUUCCUAUUCGGCCAUCUUGGCUCCUCCCUCAGUUCUGGAGACUGGGACAUCCAAGGUCAAUGUGCUGGCAGAUUCAAUGUCUGGAUUGGCAAACACAAAUCAUGUUCCAAGUUCUGCCUUCCACCUGAGUGAAAUACAUCACCGCUUUCCCUGCUCCCGCCGCCAUUAAAAUUGUGUUUGGCAUCUGACCACCAAGAUACAGAUAUUUCCUAGACUGUUUUGCAGCUAGGUACUUAGCUCAACAUUAUUGUGCAGUUGAAAAUAUUUGGCUCACCCCAUGGAAUUUGGAAAAUAUGUUGCUUCAAGUCUGUAGUACAAUGAAAUCAGGAUAAUUUCAACUCAGUCUGAUUAUCAAAGGUAAGUACUUUCUUGAAAAACACUGCCAGAUACCACAGCUUGCUGAGGGAAAAAUGAGAGAUGCCAAAAUUCAUUUCAAAAUACCCCAUGCAUGUGUUUAGAAAAGAGUUUUAGCAACAACAAAGGUGUUCACUAUUAUAAGAUGUUCAGCCGCUUACCUCUAGCUUCAGAGAGUCUAUUCCCUGUUCUUGUCACCUAACUCUAAUGUUGGGAGGCAGCUGAGUGGCCUCCAGGAUAACCAUAUUGCAGGACAAAAGAAAGGAGAUGAGAUGGAAGAGUUCCAGCUUCAGCCCUGCGGAGCCUGUGAGCUGGUGCCAAAGAUAACAGAGUAGCAUCAAAGGCUGUAUGGGACAGCUGUACUGGCAGGGAGCUACAAAGGCAAAAGAGAGAGAGAAAGGCAGGAGAGAGAGACAGAGAGAGAGAGAGACAAACAGAGAAAGACAAAGACAGAAACAGAGAGACAUUGAGACAGAGACAGAAAGAUACAGAGAGGAAGAUCUUAAAAUAUGUAUAUUUUAGUAUUAUGAGUUCUAAAGGAUGCGGGAGAAAUGGGAUGAAGAGAUGAAAGACAACAGGAAAAUAGAGAAGAUGGAUAGAGGAAGAAAGGAGGGAAAGUAAAGAGAACAAAGGAGGAAGAGAGAGAGAAGUAAAAACAAAGAAGGGAGGGAGGGUGAGAACCCUGUGGCAUAGCGACAGAAAGCAAGGCUGCUGGACUAAUUUAAAGGUCUAAGAACAACGAAAUGAUCAUUAGGAAGCUGGUCAUAUAUUUAGGUUCCUUCUCAAACAACUGGGAGGACAACAAUCAGUUCUUUUGUCAGAAUUUCCUUCAGGGUUUUUUUGUUAAAUAUGUCAACCACCAAAACCACA
rnacentral:lncRNA from 1 species